rnacentral:rRNA from 1 species
GUUAGCGGCGGACGGGUGAGUAACACGUGGGUAACCUGCCCAUAAGACUGGGAUAACUCCGGGAAACCGGGGCUAAUACCGGAUAACAUUUUGAACUGCAUGGUUCGAAAUUGAAAGGCGGCUUCGGCUGUCACUUAUGGAUGGACCCGCGUCGCAUUAGCUAGUUGGUGAGGUAACGGCUCACCAAGGCAACGAUGCGUAGCCGACCUGAGAGGGUGAUCGGCCACACUGGGACUGAGACACGGCCCAGACUCCUACGGGAGGCAGCAGUAGGGAAUCUUCCGCAAUGGACGAAAGUCUGACGGAGCAACGCCGCGUGAGUGAUGAAGGCUUUCGGGUCGUAAAACUCUGUUGUUAGGGAAGAACAAGUGCUAGUUGAAUAAGCUGGCACCUUGACGGUACCUAACCAGAAAGCCACGGCUAACUACGUGCCAGCAGCCGCGGUAAUACGUAGGUGGCAAGCGUUAUCCGGAAUUAUUGGGCGUAAAGCGCGCGCAGGUGGUUUCUUAAGUCUGAUGUGAAAGCCCACGGCUCAACCGUGGAGGGUCAUUGGAAACUGGGAGACUUGAGUGCAGAAGAGGAAAGUGGAAUUCCAUGUGUAGCGGUGAAAUGCGUAGAGAUAUGGAGGAACACCAGUGGCGAAGGCGACU